UUGCGCUACCCCAUGGACUCAUAUUGGCUCAUUAACUACUUUCUUGAGUUUCUUGGACAUCGUCACAUGAAAUAAUAUACGAUCGAGCUUGCUCCCGACCAAGCACGAUCAGAUUCCUUGGGAGUUCUUCGGCAGACGAUUUCUAUGCACCGGCUCCAUGAGACGAAGAACAAAUCAGCAUGCCACCUGACUGAUGACCCACCCACCGUUUACCCGGCCCCAGGAGCUAGAAGGCCUUGAGACAAAAGCUCGGGCAGGAUCCUGACGGACGCAACAGAAUAUCAUCUACGAUGCUUGUCCCACGGCCUGACUGAAUAAUAUUUAUAUAAUCAAUGGAAGGAAAAAACAGUAGAACAUUGAAAUUGGCUCGUAGGCAAGACGGAAGAUGGUCAAAACCGGUCAGAAAAUGAUGGCCUAGACACGGUUGGAGAGCUCUUGUUGGCAGAAACCACCUGAAGAUGGUCAUUUGACAUCAGCAACCUUGUGGUGAUACAAUGAACCGGAGCGGCACCGAACUGAAAAAGUUGAAAAACUUGGCAUACAUACUAUGAGACCUAUUUGAUGACUGAUAUAAGCCAAGUUCAGACUGAUUAUUGUGAUAGUUGAUAACUAAGAAUACCUAAUAUGCUUUUAUGGUGUGUGAAAUAGUAUACUUUUUAUAAUUUAUUAAUUAAAAGUUUAAUAAAUGUUUUACUUACCUAAAGAAAAUAUUAUAUUUUUAUAACCAUUUAAUUUAGUUGUACAUGCUAGCAUAUCCACUUAUUUUUUUAUAGUUAGUGUGUUGUUGAUAAAUAAUAAAGCCUGACUAGGGUUUGUCGCUGUGGAGAAAGGAUUAGCAUCAGUCACUGACUGCCCGGUGUGCCGGACUUAUUAAAUGUACAGUUUAUAUUAUGAUUUACAUUUCUUGAACUCCACAUUUAACAUUCAAACUAUUCAAUUAGCCACUUCAUUUUAGUUAGUGUGUUGUUGAUAAAUAAUAAAGCCUGACUAGGGUUUGUCGCUGUGGUGAAAGGACAACCAGUCAUCAUAGCAUCAGUCGCUGACUGCCCGGUGUGCCGGACCUAUUCAAUGUAUAUGAUUUACAUUUCGUGAACUCCACAUUUAGCAUUCAAACUAUUCAAUUAGCCACUUCAUUACCUACAUACUUUGACGUGAAUAGGCAAACUUAAAGUAUAUGGGAGACAACUGAAAAUCAGUGGUUUGUUCCUAAGGGCAAACAUAUGCACUGAGUUGCUUCCAAACAAACUAAUGUCUAUCUAUCUAACUUCUUAGCACAUGUGAGCGACAGGAUUUGAAUCCACAUUUCUUCCGUGAGGGGCGGGCGCUUACCCGUCUGAGCUAACACCGCUACAUAUAAGUAAUAUACUUAAUGUAUAAUUUUAGUCAAAUAAAAAAGAGGAUGUGUGUUUUGACAAAUGUUGUUUUUAAAGCAUUUUCAACGGGUUAUUAGAGUCCCGGAUCAUCCUCCCUAUAAGUAUUAUAGUAAUUUUCCUUUCCUGCAUCUCUUCUUGUAGAGCAAGGAUGAAAUUAACAAAAACUAAACAAAUAAUUAUUUGUGUCACAUGUUAUCACCACCUUCGAACUUGAGUGAUAUAAUGCUACCUAAACAAAUGUCAAACUGAGACAUGUGUGGAUAAAUUGGUACACCCAUGUUAGGAAAUAAGACAAAUCUUCCAAUCUCGCUGU